rnacentral:lncRNA from 1 species
GGCGCGCGAGCGGAGGCCCCAACGGGCGCGGGGGUGGGGGCGGGGCGGCGCGGGCCGCCGCGGGGACCGUUACCGGUCGCGCGCGCGCUGGGGCCGACGGCCGCGGGGCCCAGGGGGUUAACGGGGAGGGGAGGGGCGCGCGGAGCGGAGCCGGUGCGAUCCGGCUGGUUUUGGCGGGAGGUCGGCGCGAGGGGGGGAGGGGAGCGCCGGUGGGGCUCGCCCCUUUCCUCCAACGCGCGGGAAAGGGCGGGAAGCGGCCGCGCUCCUGGAGCCCGGGCUGCUUUGCCGCCAAAACCGCCGCCCCAUGGGGGCAGCCGUGGGCGGGAGCGGGGCCUCCCUGAAGGGGCAGCUUCGCCCCCCCCCUCCCUCGGGGGGCCUCUCGUCUCCGCUCCCGCUCCGCUGUGGGGCGCGUCGGUGCGGUGCGGGCCGAAGAUUUGCCUCGGGAUCCCGCCGCGCAGGGGCCGUGACCCGCGCCAAAAGCCCUGGCGCCGCUGAUGCCUCCGGCCCCUCCCCGAAUCCCUGUCCGCGCCGGAGCGCCCGGCCUCGCGGUCCAAACUGGCAGGUGGGGGUGGAGCCCCGGAGACCUGAGGCGCCGUUAGGGCCUAGCGCCCUCCGGGAACCCGCCGAAAACGUUUACUUCACAGGCUGAAGGAGAUACCAAGGGCGAUAAGGCCAAAGUUAAGGAUGAGCCGCAACGGAGAUCGGCGAGGUUAUCUGCUGUGAGUAUUCUGUUGUUGAGGAGAGAUGGCACAACGUUUAAUAGUAUUAGGCUUAAAUAUUAAAUACUGUAUCUGUGUGAGAACUGUAGGUAUUCUGGAGGGAUGCAUUGUUCAGUUGAAUGAAUGUUGUUAGCUUAACAAACUGCCCCAUUGUGUAGUGUUAUGGGAGUGGUAGAAUAAUUGUCAAGUCAAAUGUUUCGAUUUCAAAUAUUGCUUUGAUUUGCUUUCCUAAAACUAAACUACGUGGUUUGAAUGUUUUUUGUUUAAAAAAAAAAAAAAGUUUUAAACUGCUUGUAUAAUAAGAGGAUUUUUUUCUUAUAGAAACCUGCCCCUCCAAAGCCAGAGCCUAAACCUAAAAAGGCAGCUCCAAAAGUAAGUUGCUGUGUUAAUCCUAUUACUGAAAGGUAGAUAGGUUAUGAAAUAUAGGUUUGUGUAGUAGUAAUUCAUAAAACUUUGAAUAUCAGUGUAUUUAUCAGUGGUGGUAAUCAUUUGAGAAUUUACUUGCAUCAUUGCUUCCAUAAAGUUGGACUGAAAACUUUUAUAUUUUACAAAACUUGCAUAAAAGUAUCUAAGACUAACCAAAUAUAUGAAGAAGCUUUACAAAAAUUGCGAAUCUGUGUCUCUCUUAAACAUAUAAGUACUUGUGUGUUGCUGCGUUCUUUUUAGGCCAACAUCCAGUGUUGGUUUGAUCAUCUUAGUUUGUGGAUUCUUGUGGCUUAAUGAGUGGGAAUCGGUAAUUCUCAUGGUGUAUGUCAUCUUCUAUUUGGCAGAAGAGUGAGAAGUUGCCUAAGGGAAAAAAGGGGAAAACUGAUGCUGGCAAGGAGGGAAACAACCCUGCAGAAAACGGAGAUGCCAAAACAGACCAGGUAUAAUAGUGUUUCUAGCAGCUUGUGUUACAUCACUGAAUUAUUUUUUUCCAUAUCAAGUAUUGGCAGGUCUAGGCCUGUGCUAAUGAAGUGAAAUUAUUGCUCAAUUAUUUAGAUCUGUUGCUUAUGACAUUAGUAACAUGCUUGCAGAUGCUUUUUAGAAAGUACUGUUUGUAUUGGUUGGUAAAGAGUUAAAAUAAAAAUUGUCUGUUUGCCA